rnacentral:lncRNA from 1 species
CCGGCCAAGUCCUCCACAUCCACUGCUGGAACCGCCGUCAAGGUCGCCGCCGCCGCACCCAAAUCGAAGGCGAAGGCGAAGCCCAAAGCAGACGCCGAUGCGGUCAAGCCCAAGAGAAACGUCAACAGGAACGCUGGCAUUCUGAAGCCGAUCUUCCAGAUCUUCACCAAGAACUCCGCCGCCACCGCCAUUAUCAACCUCCACCACCUCACAACAACCGCUCAUUGACCGUGAAAACCUUAAGUCCGAGCAUUCUCAUCAUCAUCGUCGUCGUCACCAUCGUCGCCUCAUUCUCCCUCUGCCAAAUCCAACAACCGCUUCCUCCGCCAUGUCACUCCCUCUUCCGGCGACGACGCCCACGCCCGAGUAUCUCCGGCCGAAUCCGCUGCCACCGCCAAUCCGGUCGCCUCGCUCCCGGUCUUCUCCAUCAAGCACCGCCGAGCCUCCUCCACUGCGGUCGUCGCCGCCGACUGUGCUGUCUGCCUCUCCAAGUUCGAGCACGACGACCAACUCCGGCUACUCCCUCUCUGCUGUCACGCCUUCCACGUAUCGUGCAUCGACACGUGGCUCCACUCCCAGCAGACCUGCCCGUUCUGCCGGUCGCCUAUUUCCGCGUCCGACUCCG